rnacentral:lncRNA from 1 species
AAUAGGUGAUAAACGACCAAGACCGAGAGUCACCGUCCCCAACUCGCCUGGCUGCCUGGAAGACGCCGGAGAAUCUCAUCCCAAGAGUUAGGAAUUAAAGUUCCCUUGAUGAAACAGCAGAUUUUGUGACAUACAGAUGUAUAUCCACAGACAAAUUCGAUCCUUCUCUCUGGAUUACAACCUAGGGUAAACUAUUCGUUUCUUAUUUGGAAUCUGAUUUUUCCCUGGCACUUUCCAAGACUUGGGAGAUAAUUUAAAGAUAACUAAAUCUUAUCCUGAAAAUGUGAGUAGAGACUUUUUUAGAAUGUAUAUAAUUUGAUAUAAAAUAAGUAUAAAAAUAUAUAUUACUAUUGAAUAUCCUCUGUUAAACUAAAAUAAGAAGUCUAAUUCUAAUUCAGGUAUCAAAGCUAAUAAAAAGAAUAUAUAUAAUUAUAAUAAGAAUAAA